GUCUACGGCCAUGCCACCCUGAACAAGCCCGAUCCCAUCGGAUCUUGGAAGCUAACUAAGCAGGAUCGGGCCUGGUUAGUACUUGGAUGGGAGACCACCUAGGAAGACCAGGUGCGGUCGCUG
rnacentral:rRNA from 1 species